rnacentral:rRNA from 1 species
AGGGAAUCUUCCGCAAUGGGCGAAAGCCUGACGGAGCAACGCCGCGUGAGUGAAGAAGGUCUUCGGAUCGUAAAACUCUGUUAUUAGGGAAGAACAAAUGUGUAAGUAACUAUGCACGUCUUGACGGUACCUAAUCAGAAAGCCACGGCUAACUACGUGCCAGCAGCCGCGGUAAUACGUAGGUGGCAAGCGUUAUCCGGAAUUAUUGGGCGUAAAGCGCGCGUAGGCGGUUUUUUAAGUCUGAUGUGAAAGCCCACGGCUCAACCGUGGAGGGUCAUUGGAAACUGGAAAACUUGAGUGCAGAAGAGGAAAGUGGAAUUCCAUGUGUAGCGGUGAAAUGCGCAGAGAUAUGGAGGAACACCAGUGGCGAAGGCGACUUUCUGGUCUGUAACUGACGCUGAUGUGCGAAAGCGUGGGGAUCAAACAGGAUUAGAUACCCUGGUAGUCCACGCCGUAAACGAUGAGUGCUAAGUGUUAGGGGGUUUCCGCCCCUUAGUGCUGCAGCUAACGCAUUAAGCACUCCGCCUGGGGAGUACGACCGCAAGGUUG